UGGGUAAUCUGCCCUCGAUACUGGGAUAGCCCCGGGGGAAACCCGGAUUAAUACCGGAUAGCCUCUCGAGUUUUCGGGCUCGUGAGAAAAGGUAGCUUCGGCCUCCGAUCGAGGAUGAGCCCGCGGCGGAUUAGCUUGUUGGUGGGUAAUGGCCCACCAAGGCGACGAUCCGUAGCUGGUCUGAGAGGACGAUCAGCCACACUGGGACUGAGACACGGCCCAGACUCC
rnacentral:rRNA from 1 species